rnacentral:rRNA from 1 species
GUUACUUCGGUACAUCGGUGACAGGUGGUGCAUGGUUGUCGUCAGCUCGUGUCGUGAGAUGUUGGGUUAAGUCCCGCAACGAGCGCAACCCCUAUUGUUAGUUGCCAUCAUUCAGUUGGGCACUCUAGCGAGACUGCCGGUAAUAAACCGGAGGAAGGUGGGGAUGACGUCAAAUCAUCAUGCCCCUUAUGACCUGGGCUACACACGUGCUACAAUGGUUGGUACAACGAGUUGCGAGUCGGUGACGGCGAGCUAAUCUCUUAAAGCCAAUCUCAGUUCGGAUUGUAGGCUGCAACUCGCCUACAUGAAGUCGGAAUCGCUAGUAAUCGCGGAUCAGCACGCCGCGGUGAAUACGUUCCCGGGCCCU